GGGCCCGCACAAGCGGUGGAGUAUGUGGUUUAAUUCGAUGCAACGCGAAGAACCUUACCAGGGUUUGACAUCCUGCGAAUCUCUUGGAAACAGGAGAGUGCCUUCGGGAACGCAGUGACAGGUGGUGCAUGGCUGUCGUCAGCUCGUGUCGUGAGAUGUUGGGUUAAGUCCCGCAACGAGCGCAACCCACGUCUUUAGUUGCCAGCAUUUAGUUGGGCACUCUAGAGAGACUGCCGGUGAUAAACCGGAGGAAGGUGUGGAUGACGUCAAGUCAUCAUGCCCCUUACAUCCUGGGCUACACACGUACUACAAUGCUACGGACAAAGGGCAGCUACCGGGUGACCGGAUG
rnacentral:rRNA from 1 species